rnacentral:lncRNA from 1 species
AUCGCAAAGAUUCCGGGGGAUCCUUCCUGGUGACUAAGGAAUGAUUCGUAUAGACUUUGUUUCAGUAGCUUCCGUAAAUCUGGACUGAAGGACUGCGCGCCACUGCCUCCUCAUUUCAAAUUGCCCGCCAGACUGAUGUUAUGUCUCUGUGGAAAGGGAACGGUCGUCUCAACAGCAGCUGGGCGCCUGCCUGCUCUUGUCUACCCAUAGAAGAGGCAGACGCACGCAUGGCUAACGGGAAAGGUAAACUCGGCAACAACUGAUCACGUUUGUUCAUCUAUCCGAAGUCAGUCGAAAGGAAGUACAGACAUGUUCCUUAGUCGUUGCAUUCGUUCCCGUCGCUGUUAUUGCUCAUGAUGCGUCGUCUCAGCGAAACUUCGGCCAGAGUGCCCUCCUCCUUUUGCUUUGGUUGGACGACGAGGAAUCCAAUUCGAACGAAGACUUGAAACACCAGGGCGCCGCACCGUCUCGGGGGGUGUACUGUAAUCAAAGUAACACGAUAUGAUUCGCAACGAAAUAAUCUGGAGAGAAGGACGCUCAGAACCAAACGUUCGGUCAGAGUGGAAUGAGUCGCGUGCUAGUGAAUGAACGAUUACUGGCGAAGCAAGGAGGGUGUAGUCUUUGCCGCUGUGCAAUAAUAACAACAUUAACAAAGAAACAACCGGAUCGGGGGCGGGAACGUAGCGUGUUGACGUGCCGCCACGGGUGGUACCGGCACAGAUGGUGUAACAUUGGCUAGUGCAUGCUAAGCGCUCGAACGUGGUUGUUCCACAGCUGUGCGUGGUUUAAUGCAUUUGACGACGCACGUUCGUAAGGUUCCAAGAUGGGUUUUCCUUGCAUAGAAUAGAUCGAGGUGAACUUCGCAUGCAGGAAAAGCUUUUCCGUGACAAGAACUCUGAGUUGUGCAAGUGCUUGUUAAGAGGCGGGGUUUCGAGCUGGAUUAUAUGGGGUACCAUUGGUUUCUCAAAGUUCUGCUAGUGAUUUGAACCACUUCAUCUGUUGAAGUUCUUCCGCUCGGCGACAGGGAUAAGCUGUGGCGUUCAUGACUCAUUUGUCAUCAGGAGUAACCUAUUAGCUUGUGAUUAUAUCAGAUAAAAUGGCCAAUAGAACAUCAACUCUUUAAUGUGCGCUUUGACGUUGGGAGCUUGUACUGGGCGGCAUUAGAAGAAAGGCGCUCUUACUGUUAUUAACGUGAUGUGCAUCGCAUCAGUCUAAUACUUGCAGAUAGAAGCAGCGAUCUGAAGCGAAAAAGGAUUGAUCGUUAGUACGCUAUUAAUAAUAUAUAAAACGGAUAUAGAAGAAGUCGCAGCAUUUGUUAACUGAGCCGGCCACAGUAUCGGUACCAUAUAGCUAAGCAAGACGAAAAUACCACUUCAUAAGAUCUCGCACUACCCAUCGUUGUCCGAACUCUAACUAGACCGAACCGACCUAAGGAUGGCCUCUGCCACCAAUGGUUCCGUUCGACCCAGCUCCGAGCAGUCAACACCAUUAUCGUCACGGCACUCCACCACAAUCAAUGGCCACAUCUGUAGUCGAGUGCCUGCUUUAUCAACUAGAAAGCUUCCGGAGGGCCACAGCACUGCGUACGACAACAGUUAUCAACAAGAACCUAAGCAUAAUCAGAAGCUUGGAGAGGACCAAGAAAAUUCUUCAGUUACUGACGGUGGCGCUUACCCUAAGUCUCUUGCUCUGACAGCACAAAGUCGAAGACCGAAAUCGAUCCUACAAUUACAAGCUGACCCUAGUUCAACCUCGAACCAUUUCGACCCUCGGAUACACAACAGUCCCUUGCGUAAGCGACAGGCUCAUGAUGCUGUCACAUCAGUGUGUAUGCUCGUUUUCGUCCCCACGGCAAUUGUUAUCUUUUUGGUUUACCUCGUAAUGCUUUGUAGAUACUACUCAUGUGUAAGGAAUACUCUUAAGCUAGUGGCAGCCCUGCUCGAGGCCGUCGUUUGGUCCCGACCCAUGAGGAUGUUUUCGGAAUUGGCGGGAAUCCCUGUGGCCCUAGGAAUUGCUGUCUCAAUGUACUAUCUCGUCAUAUUCUAUUUCAACAGCGAUGUGCCUGGGGUGCGGCCCCCGCUACCGCAUAUCAGCUGGAAAACAGGGAUUCGGGCAGAUCCCAAUUACAGCUUCGGACUACUACUGGGUUUCAUUUGCUUAGUUUUCUACUCAAUUCCAGAUAUUUUACUGUUUCAUUCAGCAAGAAUCUACAAUAGCGGCUGAACUGUGAAGCAAUAAAAAAUUUACGUGGAGCUAAGGUUGCACACAACCUAAAAUUCCAUGGAUCGACUUUAGAGAAUAUAAGCAUGCAUGCAAAAAAUACGCUUGACAAAGAUUUCGGAAGACAACGAAGAAAAAUGCAAGCAAAUCAAGUUGGUAGAGAAACAUGUAAUAGCUAUCAGGGCAAUGUAAAUGGCCGUUGAAACCAGCACAAAAGCAAUGUAAUUUCUACAACUGUCAAUAGCUCAAAAAUACUUUAUAUGUAUAUAUAUACAUAUGUACACUACCAGAGCAACAGAAGUGAAUUAGCUACUUAACUUAGAUAACCUCUAUAAAAUCAUGCCGUUAUUCAGGCACUGUAAUAUUAUGUAAAUAAAUGAUACUCAGAGCUACCCGUUCCAAGCAAAACAAUAAUAAAAUCUAUAGCAUUACACAAAGCUAACCAAAGCUAUUCACAACAGUUUCAGUAUUUAACUGAGUCAUAUGGAACGCAAAAACCGCACAAAUCUACAGUAUAUAUAUAUAUAUAUAUAUAUAUAUAUAUAUAUUGUUCAAUUGCACCACCGUGUGAGACACGCUUAAGACGGGGCAAAAAUUUACUUUUGCUAUGAGUUCUAUUAUGAAAUAAAGGUAACAAUCUGUAAAGCUCUGAAAAAAACAUAGACGCAAUGCGCAGUGGAGUGCUAUACGAGCACAAUUUUAGAGAUAUCCGCUAUCAUAGAGAUAAUCUGUUUAUCUAGGACGUUUAACACGUUCCUCAAUGGAAUCGGACACGCCUGGGUACCAGCCUGAGCAAGUGAAGCCACUUGUAGCUAUUGCCGACGUGAUCGUGCUAUUGUAACGUGCCUAUGCAUAGUGAACUGACCGUAUUUGACGUUGGCUUUCCCAGCUAGCUGACGUGGCAAGCGUAGAAAAGAUGCUACAGUGUAGUCCGAUUUGUCUAUGGUUGUAAAACGUAAACACUGUCAAAAAAAAUUGUCUGAACAAUGGCAGUCAUGCUUUUCUCGAAUUUAUCUGCUGAGGCAGGUGUUGCAUCGCCAAUAAAGUUCCUUUAAGUUAACUGUAAAGAGCAUGGCUUCCGGGGGACAUUCAAAACAAGUCAACUGAGAAAAAAACAAUCUAUGUGUAUUUAUGCAAACGGAAAAAGUAAUACGGGACCAGGAAAAUGUUCAAAUGAGGGGGUAAAUAGUCAUCGAAAUCUAUAUUUACCUGCUGUUACAUUGAUGGAGCCAAUAUAUGACCAGAUGGUAAACGAACAUUACACAUAUGGUAUCUAGGUCCAUAUAAAAGCGGUGCAUCUUUAGAGCCAGUAUACCUGUCUGCAUAUUGCUUAGGCGAGAAUCUUUUGCCACGAAUAUUUUCUAAAUGGCUUUACAAUUUCGACCAGAUUCAGAAGGAAUAAGGUACAACAUUGUACAUUUCAAACCUCAGUGCCUCUCUAGAUGCUGAAAGUGCUUAGACGCAGUAGAGGGUGUUUCAGUACCUUAAAAGUGAUGUUAAGUGAAGCGCACCUCUCAUGCGCAUGUUAAGACAGAAUUGCUACAGUAAGGACAAAAAAACAAAAUCCCAACUGUUAUGAGCAAAGAAAAAAUGCACAAAAAUAUCUGAGGCCGUGUGUGGGCGUUCUGUUUUGUCAAUCUUCGCUCAGUUACCUUUGAAAACGAGCUGUGUACGUAUAAACAUAAUAUUGCUUUCGGCAGUCCUUUUUACAAUUACAUCUUUACGUGUCCAUAAUGUUUUCUAAUUAUCGUAAGUAUUUCAGACUAACUAAUUAUUUAGAAUUCUAGUAUAACACUUAUUAGCGAUUUCCGUGGUGUCGGAAUAAGUUUCAUUUGUCAUUAUUCACCGAAAAAGUCUUUUUACAUUUGACCAUUAUAUCAUGCUGCUUAAUUGAUCAACAGGAUAAGGCAAAAACAAUUUGAAAUCAUUCACUUGACAGUUUUUAUGUUACAUCUGUUAAAAUAGUGACGAAGUUAAAUGUAAUGAGAAAGAUCAAUUGCAGACUGUCUGUCAAGUGCCCGUUUUCAAAGCUGUCAGGACGUUCAUGCUUUUGUCUUGUAUAUGGCUCUUCCCCACCGGCAAUUGUGGGUCUUCAAGUCUCAGUUAGUUGUUUUAGUUUUCCGUUUUAGCGAACGAAUAACGUCUAUAUAGUUAACUGCAAUAAAAUUAUAAUGCACAGCAUAGACAUUUCGUCACGGUGAUCCUAUCUGCGACAGAACGUUAAAAACUGUUAUUGUCUACGGCUACAGUAACUUGUUCUACUGUGUGUUGAAAAACAGACACAAUUAAGAUUCUACAAUAUUGCACAAGCCUUUUUUUUAUUUUCUCUAUAAAAUCAAAAACCGUACCGGUGCGCGCGAAUGCUUUUGUCAUUUGCUGGUCACCAUUUCGAGAAUAAUAAUAAAAUAAAUCUUGUAUAUUAAGUAGACGUUGCUCGGGCCUCGAACUAAUUAAAAAGAAAGAUCAGGCUCCUUGCUGUGGCAGCGUCGAGAUCUAACAAUAAAAAGAAAACAAAAUAAAGUACAUACGCGACCCUGCCUAUUUGCAUAAUUCUGGAGCUCUCAACAAAGACAACCGAACAGUCAAGAUAGAAGAACCAGUGACCGGCGUAACGCCUCACCGAAAUACCCCUUGCAGACUAAUAGAGUUUAUGGCUUGCCCUAUCGUAGCUAGAACAACUCGUUCCAACACGGCACAUAUACAUUUUGUAAAGUAAUAUAUAUCGCACAUAUGUCGCGUAGAGGAACGUAUAGUGUAUAUAGUGAAAUAAAACUAUCCAAAUACGAAUUGUUGAUGCUUUUCUAUUAGAGAUCGAAUGAUAUAAAUGAAUCAAAUACGCAGUCGGACACUGGAUUAAGUUGAUUGAACGGUCACUAGGUUGAAUUUUAAAGUUUUAGCUGCCAUUUACCAUUAAGCCACCACUAAAACCAUGGCGGAAUGGGCCUAUUCAGCGAUUUACAAUUUUUUUUCUACAAAUUCACACAGAAUUUUACGCUAUGUCUAAUUAGAAAAAGUCGUUUUUCUUUAAUGAUUUUUAUGGUUACUUUACUUAGGCACAAGUCAAAUCAGAAAAACGUUGAUAGGUUUGCCGCAAAUGAAUGUAGCCAUAUUUUAGUCGAUCGAUUUUGAUAUUGAGCGUAAACCAUUCGAUACGCGAAGUACUAAUGGUGCUCCAGCUGAUCAUGCAAAUAGCGAUCUGAACUUCGACAAUAAAACGUUCUAUGUGCUAUGGUGCAAUUCCAUUAGAUUCUAUAGUUGUUCGUAUCGUAUCGAUUUGAAGUGCUGAUACUGCAUUUCUAUGCAUUUAUAAUCGGUCAUCGUGUUCGGACAUCCUGAAGCCAGUUGUUUCAAGACCUUUGCCACUUGAAUGCAACCGGAAAGGAAACAUACGGACUUGUACCAAUCACGAUUGCGAAUACUGACAACUUAUUAACUUUCAAACGAAUCAGGCCUUUCCAAGUAAGUUUACCAAGCCUUCGUUCGUUUAGAGAAAUCGGCAAAAAUAGACUUUGUUGAAAUGGCAGGUUAAUAUUGGUCAUUAUGAAAAAUAUGCCGUUUUUCAACGUUCAAAUGUAUCCAGUAUUUUCAUGGUUAAGCCCCCGGGUUCGGGGAUGCACGGAAUACAGGUUCGGGAACGGUGACAAUAUCGCCCGAUAGCAUAAACACUUUUAAAGCUUCUUUCUUUAUCAAUACUUUUUGUUGUAUGAUAGCGUCCAUAGUCACUAUGCCUUUAUGCAUUUACCUUACAAAGAUAGUCGAAAAAAAAAACUUAACUCUUGCUUGCCCAGAUCAGUCGGCAGUUCUCAAGGCAAUAAAGUGCACUCUGCAAUUUAAUAAAUGUACGACUUUCAUGUCACUUUUAACAUUGAACAUGACCAUAAGUGUUCGAUAAUUUUGUCUUGUCCUGUUUUGUUUUCUCGUAUAUAGCACGUUCUGUAUGUAUUACUUGCGCCUGCACGUAGAUUAGCUGAGUAACACCCUAUGCAUCUAUCGACUCUAUGAAUGUUGCUAUCUGGACCGCAUUAUCAGGUAACGUUCGCAUUGUUAUAAUUAAAAAUUUGAGUAUUGAUAAAAUGCGAGUACGCUUUAACUGUACCCAGCAAUGAUAGUGAUAGAUGUAAAGUGAUUUUUAUAACAAAUGACGCCGAAUUGUCAACUAUUUGAUACGAAAAUGUGCAGCAUUUGUGUGUGCUAGUCUUGCAAGUCUCUCGCAUUUGUUAUGCGGGAAUUUCAAGCUCUUAACGCGAAUAUCUCAAACCAAUAACAGGAGUUAACGGCAGGACUCGUUUGCGAUUGUAAUGAGGUGCGAGACCUUCAAAUCUCCAUUCCUGGAAUUUGAGCCAAACUAGAAGGAUUAGAAGACUCAGUAUAUGGAUUAGUCUGAUUAGAAGAAAGGCCAUUGUACUCAUCCGAAAGCAGACGUUAAAAUCGAACAACGUAAGCGUCGAGCUGAAACUUUUCCGACGUACUGAUCAUGCCAGGGGUGCGUGAAGUGACACCUGUGUCGGCUGGAUACCUCGGUAGAGCGCGUCGUCACGAAGACGACCAACAAUGCCAAAAGUCUUCAACACUACCUUCGAUUACUUUAACAAAAGCAAGCCUAUCGCAGUCCGAGAGCACCGUAUCAGACAAAAGUGAGCAAGAGAUCGUACGACCCAAUGAUGGCUCAUCGAAUCAGAUAUACCACCCACGGAUAAAUUUGGUCAGACGUAAUGAUUCUAAACAGAGAAAGAGCAGACUAGAAUCGGGAUCAGGAAGAACAAACUCGGAGGCUGGUCACACAUCAACCCCACUUCGUCCGAUGCAACGUACUGCUUUGUCGCUGCAUUCGUGCAGCACUCUUUAUCCUCGUCCACGACACUCCAGUCUGCAGAAAAAGCAAAAUUCCUUGAUGAGCAAGCUAAUUAAGAUUGUACCCGUCGUCAUUGUGACCGCAGUCAUUUUUUGCUUAAUCCUUUAUGCGGCGACCUAUCCUGAGCGUAUUUUCUUUCUACAGAACGCAUUCAAUCUCGCCAUGGACUCGGUCCACGUGCCGAUUCGACGCGGCGUCUUUUCGAGACUUUUGAGCGUUGCCGGUAUCCCAGUCUUUGUCUCUGUUUAUUACCUUUUAGUAUUUUAUUUCAAUCGAGACGUUCCCGAAGCGCUCACAUUUGUUCCGUUUUUAAAUGGAAGAACAAAAAUUGUAGACUUACAUUUUUCUUUCAGUCUGUUAGUUGGCGGAACCGCCUGUUUCAUCUUGUUCACCAUGCCGAAUCUAGUGUUUUUCCAUAUGAAAAGAAUAUACGCGAUUGAUUAAGCUGGAAAUUAGAAAAGGAAUAGAAAAGACAAUCAGAAAGAUAUUGCUCACUUUACUACUUUUUUCUCCAUAAGAAAUACGAGGUCAUUUACGCGGCUAGGAAUAAACGAGUGGCUAAAAGUCGAUUUUGAAUUUUAGCGGUCUAAAAUAACAGCAGAGAAAAUUUCGAUGCUUUAGUACUUUACAGUAAUAAGUGUGUAUUAACAAGUGCGUUAGGAAAAUCUUAUUAGAUUAUUAUAGCAGUUACAAUUGAUUCAAGUGCUAAUUCGCUUGCCCUGUUUCUUUAUAACUCUGUUCUGUUAUCUUCAAGAGAAUUAAAAACAAAAAUAUUCCUUCGAAGAAACGGUUUGAUGUGAUUUGUUGCGAUACUAUAUACUGCAACAACUUUUCAUUAAAUUUGUUUCUACAAAUUUCCCUAUCAUUUAGUAGAAGAAGAGAAAUGUGUAAAUUUAAGUAAA